rnacentral:rRNA from 1 species
UACGUAGGGUCCAAGCGUUAUCCGGAAUCACUGGGCGUAAAGCGUGCGUAGGCGGGUGUUUAAGUGCGAUGCGAAAUCCUGUGGCUCAACCAUAUGGACUGUAUCGCAUACUGGAUACCUGGAGGAAUGCAGAGGCAAGUGGAAUUACCGGUGUAGCAGUGAAAUGCGUAGAGAUCGGUAGGAACACCAAUGGCGAAGGCAGCUUGCUGGGCAUUUUCUGACGCUAAGGCACGAAAGCGUGGGGAGCGAACAGG